ACGAAGGGUGCAAGCGUUAUCCGGAUUCAUUGGGUUUAAAGGGUGCGUAGGCGGAGCGUUAAGUCAGUGGUGAAAUCCUGCAGCUCAACUGUAGACUUGCCAUUGAUACUGGCGUUCUUGAGUGCGCUUGAAGUAGGCGGAAUGUGCCGUGUAGCGGUGAAAUGCUUAGAUAUGGCACAGAACACCAAUUGCGAAGGCAGCUUACUAAGGCGAUACUGACGCUGAGGCACGAAAGCGUGGGGAUCGAACAGGAUUAGAUACCCUGGUAGUCCACGCCGUAAACGAUGAUCACUCGAGAUUGGCGAUAUACGGUCAGUCUCCUAGCGAAAGCGUUAAGUGAUCCACCUGGGGAGUACGAUCGCAAGAUUG
rnacentral:rRNA from 1 species